rnacentral:lncRNA from 1 species
ACACGCUCCUCCUGCUGCCUGAGACUCCGAGAGCCGCUCUCCCAGGCUCCCCGCUGCAGCGGCGGGGCUGCCAGGGGCGGCACACUCCAGCGCCAGCCAGAGAGCUAGCGCCGCUUGAGGCCGGCCGGGGACGAGGCGCUUUACACUGCCUGAUGGGUACUAGCAGCCCACCCCAGCCAGAUGGAGGACAAGGCCUCUCCAAGUCUCAAGGAAAUGCACAAUCCUUCCUUACCUCUGGCCUCAGAACUCUCAGCAUCUCAUUGAUUAGCAACCUCAUCUGUGGCAAAUCUAAGACAUGCAUGAAAUUUGGUGCCGUGACUCAGAUCGUGACCUCCCUUGGGAGGUCCUCCUGUUCUUUGCUCCUUGAGAAAGAUCCACCUAUGGUCCUCAGACCGACCAGCCCAAGAAACAUCUCACCAAUUUCAAAUCUGACAGGAAUAUCAGGCCUGUGAGCCCAAGCUAAGCCAUCAUAUCCCCUGUGACCUGCACGUACACAUCCAGAUGGCCGGUUCCUGCCUUAACUGAUGACAUUCCACCACAAAAGAAGUGAAAAUGGCCUGUUCCUCCCUUAACUGAUGACAUUGUCUUGUGAAAUUCCUUCUCCUGGCCCAUCCUGGCUCAAAAGCUCCCCCACUGAAUACCUUGUGACCCCCACUCCUGCCCACCAGAGAACAAUCCCCUUUGACUGUAAUUUUCCUUUAUCUACCCAAAUCCCAUAAAACAGCCCCACCCCUAUCUCCCUUUGCUGACUCUCUUUUCGGACUCAGCCCGCCUGCACCCAGGUGAUUAAAAGCUUUAUUGCUCACA